AUGCGGUUUUCUCAUUCUUGAAGGCCUUAUCUUUUUAUGCUUAUUGCUUACAUAUUUGUCACUUGAUAACUGGUGGAUAUUUGUCUCAUUAAUAAUCAACCAAAUCUCUAUUUUUAUCAGACCAUAGCAUAAUGGUAUGGUAGCAAAUAUAUCUUGAUAUUAGGGGAGGUAUGUGGACCAAAAUAACAGCAAUUAUUUAUACAUAUAUUAUAUGCAAAACAAAUAUUUGACAACGCAUAAAUUUUAUAUAAAAAAAUCAUAUUAAAACAAAUACAUGUAUAUAUAUAUAAUCAUAACAAUAUAAUAAAUACAAAAGAAACAAAAGAGAAACAAAAAUCCUUUCAGCUAAGAAAUAAAUUGUACAGAUUGCACAUAAGGAAUGUAUAGGAUUGAUAUAUAACAUAAAUG
rnacentral:lncRNA from 1 species